CUUGUUCCUGUGUUGGCACUCUCAGCCUACACAUUAACACACUUUGAGGCGACAGACGUCAGAAACACAUCAGCAUCUUUUGGUCAACUGGGGAAACUUUGGUGGUUUGAGUUUUUCACCUGGUGCUUGGAGAAGAAGAAGAGGACAGGAGGUGAUGAUGAUGAUGACCACAAUGAAGGUUUACCUGCUGAUAUGCGUUGUCGUAAUUUUAUCAAGGGAAGAUGAUUAUGAAGCUGAAACACAUGAUGAAGAUGAUUCAUUCUAUGGCAGUGGUGACUACACAGAUGAAGACAACCAACCCCCUCUUUCCUCCUCAGCUGCCAACAACGCCAGGGGUUCCUCUCGCUCCUCCUCCACAGCUAACCUCAACCACCUCUUUCUGGUUUCUGUUCUCUUAGUUUUGUGUCUGUUCGCAUAUUAAAAUGCAUUUUUUAUUAUGUUUGUGGGAACAUUUGUUAAACUGGCUACUGUACAUGUAACACAUAUGGCUAACACAUAAGGCAUUUAGGCAACUGUACUUGUAACACAUUGUAAACUUUAAUAAACCGUUAAGUGAAAAGACUUAUAUUUAUUCGCCUUCUGUAACAGUCCAGGAUUGGUUGGUGAAAUGAUCAUGUUGUGUCUGUUUGCAGAUGAUGUCACCCUAUUUGUGUAUUUCUUAUAUGGAAAACAUUCUCAGUUUCAUUUCAGACAAUAUUAUUAUGGUUUUAACUCCUGUACAUUGUGGCUGUAGUUUCUCAGCUUAAGAACUGUCAGAGAUGAGAAGUCCUAACAGGAACUUGGACUUGUGGUUACAUUGUGACUUUCUGCUGCUUAUCUGAUGUUAAUAAUGAGUUCCUUUAAUGAUUGCCUCUGUAAUGUCAAACUGGAUGUCACAACAUUUCCUCCAUCUGAACAAAAAAGAGAUCAAUUGGAUCUAAGCACAAGGUCAAAACUAAUUUUGCCAUCUGCUCGAUCCUUAUUGGGUCAUAUCAAGCCUGUUGCGAGGAAUCUUGGUAUCUGGUUUGACAGUAAUUGAGCUUUUGAGCCGCAAACCACAAAGCUUGUGCAAUCAUGUUUUUAUCAUAGAUAUAUAUCGAAAAUACAAUCUAUAUAAACUUUUAAGGACACUGAGACCAUUUUACAUGCCUUCAUCUCAUCAUGCCUGGAUUGCUGCAACAGCCUUUUUACUUGCUUGAACCAAAAAUCUAUUGAUUGACUCCAGACUGUGCAGAACUCAGCUGCCAGGCUUUGAAGCAGAUCCAAGAAACGUGAUCACAUCGCUCCCGUUUUAGCCUCUUUACACCAGCUCCAAGUAUGUUUUAGAAUAGACUUAGAAUUUUAUUGAUUACUUUUAAAACUCUCCAUGGCCUUUCACCAUGUCAUAUCUCUGACCACCAUCUCAUUCUGUUACAACCCAACACAUGGUACAUGUGUGCAAUGAUUAAUAUGUGGUGUGUGUUGUCAGUAGAAGAACAGAAUGAAACUAAUGGGCAGCGAGGCAGAGCGAAGUGAAAGCUGCAGGAACAACAUUGGCGUCUGUCUGUCCACGUGCUCUCAGACCCAAGACACAGAACUCUUUGGGCCGCCACAGCGUUUUCGAAUAGACUUAAAAUUUUAUUGAUUACUUUUAAAGCUCUUCAUGGCGUCUCUCCAUGUCAUAUCUCUGACCUUUUCAUCCUGAACACACCACCACGUACCGUGAGAUGCUUGGACAGAGGUCUGUUGUCUGUUCCAGAGGUGGGGCUGAGAACCAAAGGGGACAGAGCAUUUGCAGUCAGGGCCCUGAGGCUCUGGAAGAGCCUGCCUGAGGAAAUCAGGUUGGCUGAGUCAGUGAAGUCUUUCAAGUCCCUUAUUAAAACAUAGUUUUAUCUGAGGUCUUUUCCAGAGUUUUACAUUUCUUUGAACAUGCUUGUACAUCCAUAAAAUGUUUUUCUUGUUUUUAUAAAGUUUUCCUUUAAAACAGAUGGUUUUAUGAAUUGUGUGUUUUAUUUUGCUGCCUUUGUUAAGCACUGUGUAAUUUGGAUGCGCUCUAUAAAUAAAGAUUAUUAUUAGUAAUA